AAGCUAGAUAACCGAAAGUAGGAAUGACCUUCAAACCUUCCCUUCCCUGCAUGAGUGAAUACGCAAGAUGAAUAAAGAAGGACACCGAGAAAGACAAGUGAGCGUGCUGUGUGUGCAGGAAAACAAGCAAUGGAUGUCACGACACUCCAGAUCAUCAACUCAGCGUUUUAUUGCGGCAACUAUCUGUCCCAGAAACAUCCAUCCAUGUUCUAAACAGCGUGUCCUCAUUACGGUCACAGGAACAAAUCCCAGCUGACUUUGGGAAAAAGGACACAUACACACAAGCAUAAGUACCAGGUUCAUAUUUGGUUCUACACAUCCAUCCAUUCAUCCAUCCAUCAUCUUCCGCUUAUCCGAGGUCUGUCCUACACACACAUUAAUUAUUAUUUUUGUAGUAUAUGAAUGUCAUAUGAAUUUCUGAAAAUGUGUUUAUACAGUGCAAUGCCUUGAAAAAGUCUGUUUCUGGGAAUAAAACUGUGAAAAGACUAA